AACGAACGCUGGCGGCAUGCCUAACACAUGCAAGUCGAACGAAGGCUUCGGCCUUAGUGGCGCACGGGUGAGUAACGCGUGGGAAACUGCCUAUUGGUGGGGAAUAACGACGGGAAACUGUCGCUAAUACCGCAUAAGCCCUUCGGGGGAAAGAUUUAUCGCCGAUAGAUGUGCCCGCGUCCGAUUAGCUAGUUGGUGAGGUAAUGGCUCACCAAGGCGGCGAUCGGUAGCUGGUCUGAGAGGAUGAUCAGCCACACUGGGACUGAGACACGGCCCAGACUCCUACGGGAGGCAGCAGUGGGGAAUAUUGGACAAUGGGCGAAAGCCUGAUCCAGCAAUGCCGCGUGAGUGAUGAAGGCCUUAGGGUUGUAAAGCUCUUUCGGGUGGGACGAUGAUGACGGUACCACCAGAAGAAGCCCCGGCUAACUUCGUGCCAGCAGCCGCGGUAA
rnacentral:rRNA from 1 species